rnacentral:rRNA from 1 species
AUUGAACGCUGGCGGCAGGCCUAACACAUGCAAGUCGAACGAGUGGCGGACGUGAGAGAAAUGUCUGGGACACUGCGUGGUGGAGGGGGAUCACCAGUGGAAGGGGUAGCUUAUACCGUAUCCCAUCAGAUGUGCCCAGAUGGGAUUAGCUUGGUGGUGGGGUAACGGCUCACCAAGGCGACGAUCCCUAGCUGGUCUGAGAGGAUGACCAGCCACACUGGAACUGAGACACGGUCCAGACUCCUACGGGAGGCAGCAGUGGGGAAUAUUGCACAAUGGGCGCAAGCCUGAUGCAGCCAUGCCGCGUGUAUGAAGAAGGCCUUCGGGUUGUAAAGUACUUUCAGCGAGGAGGCGUUACUCGCAGAAGAAGCACCGGCUAACUCCGUGCCAGCAGCCGCGGUAAUAC